UUUUUUUUUUCUUUUUGCUUUUUUCUUUUUUGUUUGAGAAAUAUCAAACCAUAUAGAGUUUCCUAAAAGUUAUUGAACUUAAGAUUAUCAAAAGUUUGUAAAGCUUUAACGGUUCACAUAAUCAAAAAAUGAGAUUGUGUCCCUAAUAUUAUUCAAAAAAGGAACUGUAUUAGCACAUUAUUCCUAUAAUCCAUUUGUUUGACUAUUUUUGUCUUAUAUUUGGACACACACAUGCAAGUCCCUUUGUGUGUGUGUGUGUGCGUGCGUGUGUGUGUGU
rnacentral:misc_RNA from 1 species